rnacentral:lncRNA from 1 species
CAGUUCUCUGCGCACUAGGUAAGACCUGCUAUUGACCAUGCAUAUGAACCUUGUGUAAAGCAACAUCAAAAAAAUCCACACCAAGUACAUGCUAUCAAAUGCUAGUAGUACAGCGUGCAUAAGAAACUACAGAAGACUACAUAUGUGUCAUUGUCAACACAAGUUUAAAUAAUUCAUAGCAUGACAUUGUCACUUGAGGUGUAAAUAUCACUGACUAGACUCUGUUGUGCCCCUUGUUCCUGUUGCUUCAAGGCAACAAGAAACUCUGCAUCUUGAAGAAAUCAUGGCUAGCUCCACAUGUCCAAGUCCAACUCGAAAGAUAAAAACAUCUCUUCUACCGUCUACGGCAAGCCAGCAACCAUGUACUAAUGGCUAGUAUUACAUAAUAGAAGAGAUACCGAAAUACUAUCGUGGCAAGUCACUAAAGAUAUUGAUCCUUCAACUGAUUGUGGGUAGUCCAUGAUAAUGUGCAUAACUUCUGUUCCAUAGUACUAUAACUUCCGUUCUACUACUGCCACAGGAUGCAUUACAACACAUGAUGGUGCCAUGUCUUAAGAUACCACAGCCGCCGGAUCAUAGCUUCUAUUCCAUAGUACUAACAAAAAUGUGCACAGAAGGGAUGCAAACUUUCUUCAGUAAAUAGCAAGACAAUAAAGCAUCACUCUAGAACCUCAUCUUGUUUUUCCAAAAUGAAAUGGACAACAACUCACAUUUGACAUUUCCAGAGUAAGGUGUCCAUGUACAAUAACAAGCAGUUGCUGCCGACGAGCUGACCAAUUGACUGAUACUAAUUUUGGAGUAUUAGAUAAGCAAUGUAGCUUCUGGGGUACCCAAAGACAUGACAAGGCAAACAUUAAUGAUCAUCACACGCCUAAAUGGAUUGCCUCCUAGUUUAUACGAACACUUAUAAACUACUAAGCAUUGCUUACAUUUCUUUCAUUUUCUAAUAUCCAACACCAAUGCAUCAAUCCUGCCUCCUAGAAUGAACCCACUCACAAAAAAAUUACCCUCUUCAGAAAUAUACAAGAACAUUGUGCAUAGGUUAGCAUCACAAGGAGGUAAAGGUGGUUGUGCUCACUUGUAAGGUCAGGAUGAUGUGUUGUAAACGUUGGGAUGUUGUUCAGUAUUGGUGCUUGUGGUACAGAACUCAAACAGGAGAGGCUCUUGGAUCUGUACAUCUGCUGGUUAGUGCGUGUAGUAGGAAGACAUUAUCACGGAGAAGCAAAAAUGAUGGGUGGAAGAGGAGGAGGAGGAGGAGGAGGAGGAGGGGAUAAACAUAGUGGAACAUGAGGAUGAUCCCCUGGCCGUCGUCGUCAUCGAAAGGUGAAAAUCUUGGAGGCGGAGGCGAGAUCCGGGAAGUAGUAGGAUGACGACCCCGGUCCUGUUGCCCCAGCCGGAGGCGGGGCAGGGAGCGUGGAGGGAGGCGGGCAGGGAGCGUCGCCAUCGCCAGGCGGAGGAGGUCGGAGUGCUGGACGGAGGAGGCUGAAGCUGGACGAGGAGAUCUUCCAGUUGCCGCCGCCACUCGUUCACGAGCGCGAGACAGAACGAGUGAGG